GCCAUGGCGCUUGUCGUACGUGGUGACCCGCACCUGAAUGUAUAGGGUGUGUGGGGGGAACGUGGGGAAGUGAAACAUCUCAGUACCCACUGGAAGAGAAAACAACAUGUGAUUCCGUGAGUAGUGGCGAGCGAAAGCGGAUCAGGCUAAACCUGUGGUGUGUGAUACCUGGUAGGGGUUGCAUCAUGGGGGUUGUGGGAGUCCAUGUCACGCGCUACCGAGCGUGGCUGGUGAUGUUCAUGGUGUAGUCGAACCGGUUUGAGUGCCGGACCGUAGAGGGUGGGAGUCCCGUAGACGUAACAUUCAUGGCCGCCAGUGUGGGCCACCCGAGUAGUACGGGCCUCGUGAAAUCCCGUGCGAAUCUGUCAGGACCACCUGAUAAGCCUAAAUACUACCUAGUGACCGAUAGCGGAUCAGUACCGUGAGGGAAUGGUGAAAAGUACCCCGGGAGGGGAGUGAAAUAGUACCUGAAACCGUGCGCUUACAAUCCGUCAAAGCCGGCACUGCCUUGUGUGGUGUGGGUGAUGGCGUGCCUUUUGAAGAAUGAGCCUGCGAGUUAGUGCUCAGUGGCAAGGUUAACCCGUGUGGGGUAGCCGUAGCGAAAGCGAGUCUGAAUAGGGCGUUUUAUAGUCGCUGGGUCUAGACCCGAAGCGGAGUGAUCUACCCAUGGCCAGGUUGAAGCGUGUGUAAGAGCGCGUGGAGGACCGAACCCACUUCAGUUGAAAAUGGAGGGGAUGAGCUGUGGGUAGGGGUGAAAGGCCAAUCAAACUCCGUGAUAGCUGGUUCUCCCCGAAAUGCAUUUAGGUGCAGCGUUACGUGUUUCAUGCUGGAGGUAGAGCUACUGGAUGGCUAAUGGGCCCUACAAGGUUACUGACGUCAGCCAAACUCCGAAUGCCGGUAUGUGAGAGCGUAGCAGUGAGACUGUGGGGGAUAAGCUUCAUAGUCGAGAGGGAAACAGCCCAGACCACCAACUAAGGCCCCUAAGCGUGUGCUAAGUGGGAAAGGAUGUGGAGUUGCUUAGACAACCAGGAGGUUGGCUUAGAAGCAGCCACCCUUGAAAGAGUGCGUAAUAGCUCACUGGUCAAGUGAUUCCGCGCCGACAAUGUAGCGGGGCUCAAGUACACCGCCGAAGUUGUGGCAAUCACACAAUAACCUUCAAUAACAUUUCGUGUGUUGUUGGCAGGUGUGUGGUUGGGUAGGGGAGCGUCGUGCACGCUGUGAAGCCGCCGUGGAAACGAGUGGUGGAGAGUGCACGAGUGAGAAUGCAGGCAUGAGUAGCGAAAGACGGGUGAGAAACCCGUCCGCCGGAUGAUCAAGGGUUCCAGGGUCAAGCUAAUCUGCCCUGGGUAAGUCGGGACCUAAGGCGAGGCCGACAGGCGUAGUCGAUGGACAACCAGUUGAUAUUCUGGUACCGGCGAAAAACCGUCCCUACUGAACCAUGGAUACUAACCGUCGAACCAUACCUUAAACCUGGUCUUUCGAGACGAGGUGUGGGUGUGUCUACACGGGACCUGAUAUGGGGAGGUAAACGUAUUAACAGGUGUGACGCAGGAAGGUAGCCCAGCUGCGCGAUGGUUGUCGCAGUCUAAGCAGGUAGCCCGUUUCCUAGGCAAAUCCGGGAAACAUAUAAGGGUGAGACGUGAUGGGACCCCACAUGGUGGGGAAUUGGGUGAUCCUCUGCUGCCAAGAAAAGCAUCGACGUGAGGUUUUAGCCGCCCGUACCCCAAACCGACACAGGUGAUCAGGUAGAGAAUACUAAGGCGAUCGAGAGAAUUAUGGUUAAGGAACUCGGCAAAAUGCCCCCGUAACUUCGGGAGAAGGGGGACCCAAACCUUGAGUGCACUUGCUGCACGGUAGGGGUGAGGGUCGCAGAGACCAGGGGGAAGCGACUGUUUACUAAAAACACAGGUCCGUGCGAAGUCGCAAGACGAUGUAUACGGACUGACUCCUGCCCGGUGCUGGAAGGUUAAGAGGACCCGUUAAACACUUCGGUGUUGAAGCGGAGAAUUUAAGCCCCAGUAAACGGCGGUGGUAACUAUAACCAUCCUAAGGUAGCGAAAUUCCUUGUCGGGUAAGUUCCGACCUGCACGAAUGGAGUAACGACUUCCCUACUGUCUCAACCAUAAACUCGGCGAAAUUGCAGUACGAGUAAAGAUGCUCGUUACGCGCAGCAGGACGGAAAGACCCCGAGACCUUUACUAUAGUUUGGUAUUGGUGUUCGGUGUGGCUUGUGUAGGAUAGGUGGGAGACUGUGAAGCGAUCACGCUAGUGGUUGUGGAGUCAUCGUUGAAAUACCACUCUGGUCAUACUGGAUAUCUAACUUCGGACCAUAAUCUGGUUCAGGGACAGUGCCUGAUGGGUAGUUUAACUGGGGCGGUUGCCUCCUAAAAAGUAACGGAGGCGCCCAAAGGUUCCCUCAGCCUGGUUGGCAAUCAGGUGUCGAGUGUAAGUGCACAAGGGAGCUUGACUGUGAGACAGACAUGUCGAGCAGGGACGAAAGUCGGGACUAGUGAUCCGGCGGCACAGUGUGGAACGGCCGUCGCUCAACGGAUAAAAGGUACCUCGGGGAUAACAGGCUGAUCUUGCCCAAGAGUCCAUAUCGACGGCAUGGUUUGGCACCUCGAUGUCGGCUCGUCGCAUCCUGGGGCUGGAGUUGGUCCCAAGGGUUGGGCUGUUCGCCCAUUAAAGCGGUACGCGAGCUGGGUUUAGAACGUCGUGAGACAGUUCGGUCCCUAUCCGCUGCGCGCGCAGGAAAUUUGAGAAGAGCUGUCCUUAGUACGAGAGGACCGGGACGGACGAACCUCUGGUAUGCCAGUUGUACCGCCAGGUGCACCGCUGGUUAGCUACGUUCGGAAGGGAUAACCGCUGAAAGCAUCUAAGCGGGAAGCCCACUUCAAGAUGAGAUUUCCAUCAACAAUUGUUGU
rnacentral:rRNA from 1 species